rnacentral:rRNA from 1 species
GACGAACGCUGGCGGCGUGCCUAAUACAUGCAAGUCGAACGAACCGCGACUAGGUGCUUGCACUUGGUCAAGGUGAGUGGCGAACGGGUGAGUAACACGUGGGUAACCUACCUCAUAGUGGGGGAUAACAGUCGGAAACGACUGCUAAUACCGCAUAGGACAUAGGAUCACAUGAUCCAGUGAGGAAAGGUGGCGCAAGCUAUCGCUAAGAGAUGGACCCGCGGUGCAUUAGCUAGUUGGUAGGGUAAAGGCCUACCAAGGCGAUGAUGCAUAGCCGACCUGAGAGGGUGAUCGGCCACAUUGGGACUGAGACACGGCCCAAACUCCUACGGGAGGCAGCAGUAGGGAAUCUUCCGCAAUGGACGAAAGUCUGACGGAGCAACGCCGCGUGAGUGAAGAAGGUCUUCGGAUCGUAAAGCUCUGUUGUUAGAGAAGAACAGAGCAUAGAGUAACUGUUAUGCGUGUGACGGUACCUAACCAGAAAGCCACGGCUAACUACGUG